AAUACCAUGGUUUUCCGCGUCCAACUUUAACCAUUUGUCUUAUUUAAAAAAAUUUAAAAAAAUUAAAAACAUAAGUCACGAGUAAAGUACUAUUCAUGUUUUAUCAUCUUAUAACAAUAAAAAUAUUAAUUAUAAAAAAAUUUCAAAUAAAACAGACUAUCAAAGUUGGACACGGAAACUUAUGGCUGCAUUUAUU
rfam:Oryza sativa Japonica Group DNA, chromosome 1, cultivar: Nipponbare, complete sequence.